rnacentral:lncRNA from 1 species
CCCUGAACGCUUAGAAAAUUCAUUGAACAUAGAGAUUGCGAAUAAGGAAGUAAUUUUUGUAGAGUUUGUUUACCGAGACUGUUAUUCAAACAUUAGAGGUCACAAACUAAACGUAGGCUUAAUUUCGAUUAAACUGGGAGAGUUUGAUGUGAUAUUAGGAAUGGAUUGGUUAUCCAGCCACACUGCGAUAAUCGAUUAUAAAGAGAAAAGUGUGAACCUUCAGACCUCAAAUCAGU